GAGACCGAAUUGGGGAAGGAUUGAAGUGUAGUCUUUUUUUCUUGCUUUGUAAAGGAUGAUUGUUAUAAAUAAACAGAUAACAGUUGAUGUCAAAAAGCAUUGCUUUGUAAUUUUUCAAUCCAAAUACAGCUCAGUACAGUCCUUGAUGGCAAUGGCUACAUACGUUCCAUCGUUUUGAGUCUAAGGCAAGGCAGUAUAAUUGCAGAAGUGCAGAAUAUCUAUGACAUGUCAUCCGCUGUCACAAAAGAACUGGUUGAAUCUCAGAUUGAGGAAGCAAUUGUUGAAAAGAAAAUAUCAGGCGCCACUGAAUUCAAAGAAAACUCAGUGUGUGAUCUUGGAGCUUGUGACAAUACCACCACAAACUGUGAGGAACUGGUUAGUGGUGUUGCAAUGUGCACUUGCAAAGAAGGAUAUGUCAGAUCACAGUCCACAUCUCAGGCCUGCCUUGCUUGUCCAAAUGGGGAAAAGGCAGUGGAUUCAAAUAUCUGUGAAAAGUAAGCACUUGGAACAUG